rnacentral:rRNA from 1 species
AGAUUUGUAGUAGAGUGUAGAUAGGAUUAUUUGUGUAGUAAAUUAAUUAUAAUAAUUUUAAGUUUAUAAGAAUAUGGGCAGACUUGAAUACUACAUGAGUAGACUGGAAUUUCUGGUGUAGUGUUGAUAUGCGCAGAUAUCAAGAGGAACACCGGUGACGAAAGACGGGUUUUUGAGUAGUAAUUGACGAUGAGGAGCGAAAGUGUGGUGAGCGAACAGGAUUAGAUACCCUGGUAGUCCACGCCGUAAACGGUGGGUAUUAGGUGUGGGGCUCAUUUCACGAGUUCCGUGCCGUAGCUAAAGCAUUAAGUACCCCGCCUGGGGAGUACGGCCGCAAGGCUAAAACUCAAAGGAAUUGACGGGGGCCCGCACAAGCGGCGGAGCAUGUGGAUUAAUUCGAUGCAACGCGAAGAACCUUACCUGGGUUUGACAUACACCAGACGUAUGUAGAGAUACAUAUUCCCUUGUGGUUGGUGUACAGGUGGUGCAUGGCUGUCGUCAGCUCGUGUCGUGAGAUGUUGGGUUAAGUCCCGCAACGGAAAGCGCAACCCUUCGGGGGUACUCGUAGUGCCGAACGGGUGAGUAACGGGGACGUGCAGGAGAUCUGCCGGCGUCAACUCGGAGGAUAAGCCUGGGGAUAACGUCAAGUCAUAAUACCCCAUAUGACCAGGGCUGCAUCACAUGCUACAAUGGCGCGUGGACAGAGGGCUUUUGCGAGACCGUGAGGAUGGAGCCCGAAUCGGCCUAUAAAGCGCGUCUCAGUUCGGAUUGGGGUCUGCAACUCGACCUACCAUGAAGUCGGAGUCGACGAGUAAUCGCAGACCAGCAACGAUGCGGUGAAUACGGCCACACUGGGACUUGUACACACCGCCCAGACUCCUACGGCAGGAAGCAGUCGGGAACACUGCACGAAGCCGGUGGCGCUAACCCUUGAUGCAGCGACGCCGUCGAAGAUGGGAUGACGGCCAUUGGCGAAGUUCUGUAAACCUUCUUUAGCCAGGGACUGAAGCGCCAAGUGACGGUACCUGGAAAAGAAGCACCGGCCACCUACUUGCCAGCACCCGCGUUAUUACUUAGGGUGCCCGCGUUCCCCGUAAUUACUGGAUGAAAGAGUUCGGAGGUGGCUUCUCACGUUCGUUUGUCAAAUUCCGCACUUCUAUUGCAUGUUCUCACUCGAUUCGGUUCCACUUAGUCCUCAACCGCGAGUGAUAAAUUUUGG